AGCAAUAAGUCAUCGACAGGUUCCGCCACGGCCAAGCCGGGCGGAUGAAAAGGGAACACGGGAGGGCGGACCAAAUGAGGGCCCGAUCCGUGGCUGCCCCCGCAACUGUAGCGGCGACUGUCGUCCGAACGGCCACUGGCUAACGCCGGGAAGGCCGGGCGACAGAAAGACCCGCGAGCCAGGAGACCUGCCUGUCCGAACCGAUCCGU
rnacentral:ncRNA from 2 species